rnacentral:misc_RNA from 1 species
GACGUAGGGGGCAAGCGUUAUCCGGAUUCACUGGGCGUAAAGGGCGCGUAGGCGGCUGUGUUAGUCCGGCGUGAAAUCCCAGGGCUCAACUCUGGAACUGCGUCGGAUACUGCACUGGCUUGAGGAUGGUAGAGGCUCGGGGAACUAGCGGUGUAGCGGUGAAAUGCGCAGAUAUCGCUAGGAACGCCGGUGGCGAAGGCGCCGGGCUGGGCCAUUCCUGACGCUGAGGCGCGAAAGCUAGGGGAGCGAACCGG